AGAGUUUGAUCAUGGCUCAGAUUGAACGCUGGCGGAAUGCUUACACAUGCAAGUCGAACGGCAGCACGGGGCAACCUGGUGGCGAGUGGCGAACGGGUGAGUAAUACAUCGGAACGUGCCCAAUCGUGGGGAUAACGUAGCGAAAGUUACGCUAAUACCGCAUACGAUCUACGGAUGAAAGCGGGGGAUCGCAAGACCUCGCGCGAAUGGAGCGGCCGAUGUCAGAUUAGGUAGUUGGUGGGGUAAAGGCUCACCAAGCCGACGAUCUGUAGCUGGUCUGAGAGGACGACCAGCCACACUGGGACUGAGACACGGCCCAGACUCCUACGGGAGGCAGCAGUGGGGAAUUUUGGACAAUGGGCGCAAGCCUGAUCCAGCCAUUCCGCGUGCAGGAUGAAGGCCUUCGGGUUGUAAACUGCUUUUGUACGGAACGAAACGGUUCUCUCUAAUACAGGGGGCUAAUGACGGUACCGUAAGAAUAAGCACCGGCUAACUACGUG
rnacentral:rRNA from 1 species